ensembl:lncRNA
CAGAUGGGUAGAAGCAGUCCCAUCAAAAGACCAAAGUGCGACUACAGUAAUCAAGUUUCUGACUGGAGAAGUCAAGACAAGCAAGAGAAACACAAAGUUCCAGGGCCAGAGGAGGAGCCAGAUGCAGACACGCCCGGAGCCGACCAACUACCCAAGGAUGAUGCCAUCAGAUUUCGGCAGGGUUACAGUCCCUCAGAUUAGAGUUGGCAGAGAGCUCCGGCAUUAAUGACCCCUUCACAGGAUGGAUGGAGAGCCCAAUGAGCGAUGGGCGCUACAGGUGCAGCAGGUGCCAUCCAAGCUUACCUGGGGAUCGAGUAUACACCGGAGAGUUUGGACGAGGGACCACCAGAGGGGCCCGACCUGAUCUGGCUGGAGAACAUAGAAUAGACCCCCUGCACCAUUGUCCAAGAGCCCCCACGCCAUGCAGCGCACCAAUACAUGAAGAUCCCCUGAUAAUUUUUGUGGUGUUGACUUUCAAUGCAUGCUGAAAGUGUAGGACUUUGCGUCACAUAUAUUUAGAGUUAUUUGUUGUGAUUUUGAUUCUUAUUUUGUUUAUGGUUACACCUAUUUGUAUGCCCUCUUGGAUUUACUUAUUGAUUUACUAUUUGAUUUAUUAUUGCUUUACUAUUUCAUUAUUCAUUUACCAAUCAUUAAUUGUUGACAGUGGUCUGUACUCCCAACCUACGCCUCCGAAGAGACACUCCCAGACCCCGCCGACGACUGUGUCCCCGCCGAGCCGGACAUCUACCCGUGAGUGCGAGUGGCCUCUCCAGGUGAACGGCCCCGGCGUCCUGUUUCCAUCACCGUCGGCUGACACCCCACCGCAACACCCCUUCCCUCUUCCCCCCCGCCUGUGACGUGCUAGUAACCUCUCCAGGUGGGCUGCCCCAUUCCCGUCCCCGCCAACGGCAUCACCCCCCUCCCACCUGAAGCACCCACGACGCCCGGACCAGGGAUCUGCGUUCCGGUACCAGGGGCUGCGGCCCGCUCCCUUAAGGCUUGAGGGCACCCCUGGCUGUAUUCGCUUAUGUACGCUUCACUGUUUUUAGCCGCUCCCAUAUCUAUGCCCGCGUCUACGCAACCGACGCUGGGAACGUAAAUGUUGUUGUUUAUAUCGCUGUCCCACUAGAUGGAGCUCGGGGAUACACACGGGCGAGAUUCCAGGGGCCUUGAUUGCCCGUUUAUCAGAUGAGGUCCUGAGCGCAGUUGAAUAAAAGGGUCUAAUGCUCAGGUGGCGCCUUGCGACCACCUGCCCAUGAUGACGCUCAGGACUAUUCCAUGGUUUCAGUUGUUCCCGUGCCCCGAGCCUACCCUGGAUGCCCCAUGCGUGUGAUUGCUUGUUGUAACACGACCAGUCAACUCCUCCUCACAUCCUUAGUGUGUGGUCCUCUAGGGAUGGGUUGAGGGGGAUUGCCAUUCGUUAUCCGCCUCAUAUCUUCGCUAUUAUUUAGGGACACGUUUCGUGGUUACAUUUCUUUCCUGUGAUCGUUAGUGUAGUAUUUGUGUGAUUGUUGCAUUUUUAUAUUGUUAUUGUUUACUGUUCGUUUUAUUGUUGCAUUUUUAUAUUGUUAUUGUUUACUGUUCGUUUUAUUGUUGCAUUUUGUUGUUAUGUUUGGAGUUUGUUUUAUUGUUGCAUUUUGUUGUUAUUGUUAUGGUUUGGUGUUGGUUUUGUUAUGUGGCCAGCUUUGUUGUUGGUUGUUGUUUUUUGGUGUUUGUUUUUUGUAUUAUUGUAUGUUUAUGGUAUGUUUUGUGUAUUAUCUGCUACUAUUAUUGUUGGUAUUGUUUGCUCGCAAUGUAGGGCCGGGGUGGAUGCCACCCCCUAGGUGGGG